CAAAGAUAUCCUUCAGACAACAUUCUUUGGUGAGAGGGGAGAAGAAAAAAAGAUUAUCAGAACAUGCAAAAUAUUACUAAUAAGAAAUCAGAGCUGACUCUUACAGAUUUCUGAUGAACCCGAAGACAAAUCUCAGCAGACCUGUUGUUGGCAACUGAAUGUUAUGCUUCAACUAUUUCUUUAUAUCACUAUAUGUGUGCCUUUCCUAAAGGAAAUCCUAAAUAAAAUGCAAGGCUAUUGGAGAAGAAAACAAUUGGUUUCAGAAAAAUGGCAUUCACUUUAUUUUACUAGUAAAUAAAACUGAAAAACAGUCCUGGCUCUUACUGAAUAACCAUUAAAUAAAUGGCUACAAUGAAUAUUUAACUACCAGCCAUGAUAGACUUCAGCUGUAUUUUGUCCAAUAGUCAAAAGGUGAAUGUUCU